GCUCGGUGUGGUUAUGCACACCUGUAGUCCUAGCAACUCAGGAGGCUGAGGCAGGAGGAUUGCUUGAGCUCAGGAAUUCCAGGUUACAGUGAAUUGCACCACUGUGCUCCAGCCUGGGCAACAGAGCAAGACCCUGUCUCUU
rfam:Pan troglodytes isolate Yerkes chimp pedigree #C0471 (Clint) chromosome 20, whole genome shotgun sequence.